CCCUUAGAUGUUCUGGGCCGCACGCGCGCUACACUGAUGCAUUCAACGAGUCUAAAACCUGCUCUGAUAGGGGUGGGUAAUCUUUUGAAUGUGCAUCGUGAUUGGGAUAGAUGAUUGCAAUUUUUCAUCUUCAACGAGGAAUGCCUAGUAAACGCAAGUCAUCAGCUUGCAUUGAUUACGUCCCUGCCCUUUGUACACACCGCCCGUCGCUCCUACCGAUUGAAUGAUCCGAUGAAUAUCAUGGAUUGAGGAUGCAAGUAGGUUCGCCUAUCUUCAUCUUCGAGAAGUCAAGUAAAUCUUAUCAUUUAGAGGAAGGAGAAGUCGUAACA
rnacentral:rRNA from 1 species